GACGAACGCUGGCGGCGUGCUUAACACAUGCAAGUCGAACGGAAAGGCCCUGCUUUUGUGGGUUGCUCGAGUGGCGAACGGGUGAGUAACACGUGAGUAUCCUGCCCUUGACUUUGGGAUAUCUUCUGGAAACUGGGGCUAAUAUCGGAUAGGAUCUCCUGCUGCAUGGUGUGGGUUGGUAAGUUUCGGCGGUUGGGGAUGUACUCGCUGCUUAUCGGCUUGUUGGUGGAGUAGUGGCUUAACAAGGGUUUGAAGGGUAGCCGGCCUGAGAGGGUGACCGGCGACAUUGGGACUGAGGUACGGCCCAGAAGGCAACGGGAGGAAGCAGGGGGGAAUAUUGCACAAUGGGGCGAAGCCUGAUGCAGAAACGCAGCGUGCGGGAUGACGGCCUUCGGGUUGAAAACCGAUUUGGAAUGUGACGAAGCGAGAGUGACGGUAAUGGGUAAAGAAGCACCGGCUAACUACGUG
rnacentral:rRNA from 1 species